UUAUUUUAAGUCAUGCGAUUGGCCAGAUCAGAAUUGUCAUUUGAUUUUACACCUGUGUUGCCAAGAUAUUUACAAAGUCCUGAAACUAAUCUCAACCAAUAAAUUUACACGGGGUUAUCUAUACAGCAAAAAUAAUCACUUUGAUUAAUGUGUUCAAUCUGGCAACGCUGACAGUGCGACGUAUUCCGUUGUGCACGCAGCAUGUCCUUAUGUGGCUCUGACAAAUUUUUCUGAUUUUUGGUAGAAAAAAUGGUUUUUCUGUACAAUAUUUGAGUGCAUUCUAUUCCUUAAGGCCUGUUUAACUUCGUGAAAAUGAGCGUUAUUAAUAAUACACCAUAAUCACAUCAAGACUACCAAAAGACGAGACAUGAGUUACCUACCUCUUAUAUAAUCCUGAUAUUUGGCCAUUAUUCUGGUUUACAAGAUUCUAUAUCUCUUCUAUUAUUAUUUGAUUGAAAAUUUACAAUCCGAUGGAUGUAUACAGUUCCAGGGCAGUACAUAUCAUAUCAAAAUCUAAUAAAUUCUAUUAUGUUUUUGAAUAUUGCCAGCAGUGCAUUAGGACUUAUAAGUAUAUCUAGAAUGUGAUUUCUUUUGGGUAAAUAUAAUUUCAAUUCUUUCGUAAUUAAGCAAGAAAAAAAUUUCCAUAUUUCUCUUAGUUUUAUUUUUAUGAUAUCUUAGUAUCAUAGAUAAAUUCAGACCAUCUAUUUUUAAGACUGGUUUUUUGCUAUUUUUUACUUAGAAUUUUACUUCAUGUUUUUGGUUUAGUUUCAUUUCCCUAUAACAGCUUGACUCCCAUAUUUAGUGCACUUAUUUAAGGCUCACCCUGUAUAUUUCCUUGUUUUUGAGAAUAAUAUCACCAUUUAUCAAUUCUCUAAAAUCCCUUUGACUAUAUUUCUAUGUCUUCUUUUACUUGUAUUAUUUUUCUUAUGUUGUCAUUCUUCUAAUAAUACUUUUUUUCUUAAACAGAAUUUUAGUUUUGAUGGAUUCAUUGUUUUCAAUUAAUUUUUUAAUUCCUAGUUAAUUUAUACCAUUUAUUCAAAAAAAUUGACUUGGCCACCAAAUGUUGUUUUUGAAUCUUCUAGCAUUUUUCCAGUGAAUUUUCCUGUGUAACAUCGACUCCAGAGCAUCAUAACUAGCCU